rnacentral:rRNA from 1 species
AUUAUUAAGAGUUUGAUCCUGGCUCAGGAUGAACGCUGGCUGUGUGCCUAAUACAUGCAUGUCGAACGAGUAGCUUGCUACUAGUGGCGAAUGGGUGAGUAACACGUGCUUAAUCUGCCUUUUAGAUUGGGAUAACAAACGGAAACGUUUGCUAAUACCGGAUAUGUAAUAUAUUCGCAUGAAUUUAUUAUGAAAGGAGCUUUACGGCUUCACUAAAAGAUGAGGGCGCGGAACAUUAGUUAGUUGGUAGGGUAAUGGCCUACCAAGACUAUGAUGUUUAGCCGGGUUGAGAAACUGAACGGCCACACUGGGACUGAGAUACGGCCCAGACUCCUACGGGAGGCAGCAGUAGGGAAUAUUCCACAAUGGGCGAAAGCCUGAUGGAGCGACACAGCGUGCACGAUGAAGGCCUUCGGGUUGUAAAGUGCUGUUAUUGGGGAAGAACACUAAAAAGAGGAAAUGCUUUUUAGCUGACGGUACCCAAUCAGAAAGCGAUGGCUAACUAUGUGCCAGCAGCCGCGGUAAUACAUAGGUCGCAAGCGUUAUCCGGAAUUAUUGGGCGUAAAGCGUUCGUAGGUUGUUUGUUAAGUCUGGUGUCAAAG